AGCCAGCAGCCGCGGUAAUACGGAGGGUGCAAGCGUUAUCCGGAUUCACUGGGUUUAAAGGGUGCGUAGGUGGGUUGGUAAGUCAGUGGUGAAAUCCCCGAGCUUAACUUGGGAACUGCCAUUGAUACUAUCAAUCUUGAAUACUGUGGAGGUCAGCGGAAUAUGUCAUGUAGCGGUGAAAUGCUUAGAUAUGACAUAGAACACCAAUUGCGAAGGCAGCUGGCUACACAAAUAUUGACACUGAGGCACGAAAGCGUGGGGAUCAAACAGGAUUAGAUACCCUGGUAGUCCACGCCCUAAACGAUGGAUACUCGACAUUUGCGAUACACUGCAAGUGUCUGAGCGAAAGCAUUAAGUAUCCCACCUGGGAAGUACGAUCGCAAGAUUGAAACUCAAAGGAAUUGACGGGGGCCCGCACA
rnacentral:rRNA from 1 species